UUGCACGCUGGCGGCAUGCUUUACCCAUGCAAGUCGAACGGCAGCGCGGGCUUCGGCCUGGCGGCGAGUGGCGAACGGGUGAGUAAUGCAUCGGAACGUGCCCAGUAGUGGGGGAUAGCCCGGCGAAAGCCGGAUUAAUACCGCAUACGACCUGAGGGUGAAAGCGGGGGACCGAAAGGCCUCGCGCUAUUGGAGCGGCCGAUGUCGGAUUAGCUAGUUGGUGGGGUAAAGGCUUACCAAGGCGACGAUCCGUAGCUGGUCUGAGAGGACGACCAGCCACACUGGGACUGAGACACGGCCCAGACUCCUACGGGAGGCAGCAGUGGGGAAUUUUGGACAAUGGGGGCAACCCUGAUCCAGCCAUGCCGCGUGCGGGAAGAAGGCCUUCGGGUUGUAAACCGCUUUUGUUCGGGAAGAAAUCCUCUGGGCUAAUACCCCGGGGGGAUGACGGUACCGGAAGAAUAAGCACCGGCUAACUACGUA
rnacentral:rRNA from 1 species